rnacentral:misc_RNA from 1 species
AACAGCUCCUCAAACAAGGUCUCAUAGAAUCCACUCCUCUCAGUAGGCCUGCCAGGCCUUUUAUGUUGAGAAAAGAUCUGAGCAAGUAAGAGGAAAGAAAAGACUUGUCAUUGAUUACAAGCCCCUCAAUCAUUUCCUUCAAGAUGACAAGUUCCCUCUACCAAAACCUGAAGCUUUGUUCACUCGAACUCCACGAGGCCCAUGUUUUCUCCAAGUUUGAUCUUAAAGUUGGAUUUUGGCAAUUGGGUAUUAAC